ACUCCUACGGGAGGCAGCAGUAGGGAAUAUUGGUCAAUGGGCGAGAGCCUGAACCAGCCAUGCCGCGUGCAGGAAGACGGCCUUCUGGGUUGUAAACUGCUUUUAUCAGGGAACAAAAGGCCAUGCGUGGCAAAUUGCGUGUACCUGAAGAAUAAGGACCGGCUAACUCCGUGCCAGCAGCCGCGGUAAUACGGAGGGUCCAAGCGUUGUCCGGAUUUAUUGGGUUUAAAGGGUGCGUAGGCGGCCCCUAUAAGUCAGUGGUGAAAUCCUUCAGCUCAACUGGAGAACUGCCAUUGAUACUGUAGGGCUUGAGUACAGACGAGGUAGGCGGAAUUUAUGGUGUAGCGGUGAAAUGCAUAGAUACCAUAAAGAACACCUAUUGCGAAGGCGGCCCCUGCA
rnacentral:rRNA from 1 species